GAACAUAAAGAUUAUAUUUUAGACUUUAUUGUAUCGUGCUGAACAAAUAUGUUAAGGGAAUAUCCAGCAAUUUUUUGUGACAAAAAGUUCAACUAAAAUAAAAUUGGGAUGUUCUGAUGUAUCAAUCAUUAAAACUAGUCCAGCAAGAUCUUAGAAUUUUCAUAGACGAAAAAAAACGUAUAUGAUGGUAAAAACAAUACUUUCUCAGCUUCGCAUCAAAGCUAAACGUGAAUUUUAACAUAAAUGAUGACCCGCUAAAAUUAAGGCAGGACUCUCACCAGAACACUCUCUAUCAAGUUCUGUCACAAGAAUAGAAAUGUGAAAAAUUGAAAGAGAAUAGCAUAACGCUACGUUGAAAUUUAGUCGAAUGAAUAAUCAUAAGUGUUAUUAUGUUCAAAUAUGCAGCAGUCUCAAUAAACCUGUCUCCCCUUAAUUAAAAAAUGUUUGAACUUUUAACCUUUUUUUAGUACAACUUACA